rnacentral:rRNA from 1 species
GAUUCCCCCAGUAACGGCGAGUGAAGUGGGAAAAGCUCAACUUUGAAAUCUGGCUGUUUUACAGUCCGAGUUGUAGUCUCGAGAAGUGUUUUCCGCGUUAAACCGUGUAUGAGUCUGUUGGAACACAGCGUCAUAGAGGGUGAGAACCCCGUUCAUGACACGGCUUUUAAUGCUUUGUGAUACACUUUCGAUGAGUCGAGUUGUUUGGGAAUGCAGCUCAAAUUGGGUGGUAAAUUCCAUCUAAAGCUAAAUAUUGGCGAGAGACCGAUAGCAAACAAGUACCGUGAGGGAAAGAUGAAAAGCACUUUGGAAAGAGAGUUAAAAGUACGUGAAAUUGUCGAAAGGGAAACGCUUGAAGUCAGACGUGCACGGGAUUUAUUCCUAUUGCAGGCCAACAUCGGUUUUACGAGCCGGAUAAAGGUACAAGGAAGGUAGCAGUUUCGGCUGUGUUAUAGCCUCGUACUGAAUACGGAUUGUGAGACCGAGGGACGCAGCGCGCCGCAAGGCAAAGGGUCCGCCCUUUUCGCGCUUAGGAUGUUGGUGAAAUGGCUUUAAUCGACCCGUCUUGAAACACGGACCA